ensembl:processed_transcript predicted gene 12655
GAUGGACUACAUCCUCACACUGUGAACCAAAGCAGUCCCUCCAUUGAGUUGCUUUUCAGCAUUUUUGUUCGGGUUUUGCAAUUCUGAAAAUCCAUCCCAGCCAAACAUUGAGUCAUGCCCCCAGUCCUUCAGUGGCCUUAUGUCACGGCAGUGAAAAGUGUCUGUCUCCAAAUGGCUUGUUAGACCCAAUGAGCAAUUCUCUUUCACUUAUAAUAUCUGCAAGUAUUUGAAUUGAUACUGAUAUCUUCAGAUUUUGUUGAAAGCUGCUGUGCAGGUCCCAGCUAUUCCAUGUCUUCAUGGCAGAUGAGAAGUGCAUGACUGUCUGUAAGCAGAGUGUAAAAGAUGGAACAGAUUGUUUUCUCAGGUGCACACAGGCUGACACUGAAGAUGCACACGUGCCAUUGAAAUAAACCAAGAGUAUUGUGUGGCUUCCAGAGCCCUGCCUGUGCCUGCACCUUUUCCUCUUCCACUCAAGAACUCAUGUUAGCAGAUCACCGGUUUUAUUGACAACAGUCAUCAGCACCAG